AAUGAUGGACGGUGUCGCCGGGCGCCCCGAGGGAGCCGUGCCAGCAGCACCGCGACCUGCGGGCGGCCCGGGCAGGGGAAGGAGAGGAGAGGAGCUGCACCUUGUUGUUUGCUCGCCUCACGCUGAGGGUGCGGCAAUGGGGCAAGCUGGAGCCAAGUCAGUUAGCAGAACGGGGGUCGGACCCUGGCGACCACAGCAUGGAGAGAAGAGCGCUGCAGGUGCUCUCUGUCCUCCCUGUCCUGCGGUUGCACCAGGAACGUAUGGAGGCUGCAGGUGUGAAAAUCCACCAUCCCUGCAGCGGGUCGUCAUUGCUGGAGCUGUUCGUUUUCUCCUCAUUCUGUCUCCCCAGGCUGCAUCAUCCUGGAAGUCAGCCCAAAAAAGGCAAUUCCUAUGGGGCCUGUGCACAGUCUGUUAGGAACCCCUCCCAAGUGCACAACGAUUCCUCCUAGGAUGGCCGUGGCACCCCUUUCCAGCACCCUUCCUAGGGAGCCUCUGCUCUGAGUAGAUGGCAUCUCCCUCUGGAGCUCCAGGCAGAGGAUAGUACUAAAGAUUAUUUUCCUGCUGAUUCAUUUCUCCUGUGUCACAUUUCUGCCAGCACACUGACGAGCCGUCUGCUUCUAAAGAGGUUGUGUUACUUAAAGCCACAGAAACAAUAACCUCACUUGCAAACUAAGGCUGACUUUUUUCCUUUUGAAAGGUUUGAAAGGGUAAGAAGGAGUGCUGAAUGACUUUUUAUGCUGACCUUCUAAAACUGAAGUGUUUCAGCCAAAAUGGCUUAACCAACAUCUUUUGGCUGUUUUCGUCUUUCAGCUUAGUGGCCUUCAUCUUGCUAUCAAACUUAUAUGAGUCAGGCCUUUUACAUAAAGCACAUGGGACAGUCUCCUGCAGAGACACUGAACUACAGAAUUAUGUCUUAACUCAUAUUUGAGAAUUACUCUGAUCCAUAAAGUGCAUAAAAAUUAAUAUGUUUAAAAAUAUGUCUAAAUAUACGUGUUCCAGUUAGGAAGGCAUUUAUUAGGUAGUAAAUGUAAAAGAAGGUACAAUAAAACUCAAUAUUGCAAAAAAAUAAAAAGGACAUGAAUAAGUUUAAAAUUGAACUGUAAAUCUGAACUCAGAAGUAUAAAACUACAUAUAUGCUUAGAUAUCUAUUCUCUGAGCAGCCACAGAUACUGAUGGACAGCUUCAGCAGCUAAGUUUGAGUACACAUACCUCAUGGAUCAGCGCCUCAGACUGCAUGCUCACAGAAGAUACUGCUUUUCUGUCAUGACACGAGCUCAUGGAUCCUGUUUGUUCAUCAGCUCAGCUACGGCUCCACCUCUACUACUGCCACACAAAUGCCCUGCCCCCAACAAUGAGAAACCAAGGGAAGUGUGCUUCUGUGCUGAAAUCAUAUAGAAAAAGAUUAUAAAAGAAAACAGCAACUAAUUAUUAGCAUCAGGUUCCUACUCAGGUCCCCACAUUAUUAGCAUCACAAAUGUAAAAUGGCUGCCAACAAGAUUCAGCUUGGAAACCUCAUUAGAAGGGAAUGUCACAGUUUAUUCCUGGUGAUAAACGCUAUUUUAUUGCCUUUGGAAUGGUUGGCUGGUUUGGCUAAAUGCAAUGGGUGGCUCCCCUUGAGGUAUUUAUUUCUACUGAUGAAUUCAUAUUGUCUGAAGAAUAAUAAAUAUCUGAUAAUUUUCUAAGCAAUCCUGAAAAUAGUUAAUGUUGCCAAAGAAUGCAGUAGUCUAAAUUGCACACUGGAGUACAGAAGAAAAAGAAUAAUGAUAUGGUAAUACAAAAAGGGCAAAAUCAUAAUGAGGAGGGACAUUUGUCAGUAUACUCAGAAAAGCACAAUCUGUCUCCCUGGUAAUUUGGUGGAGUACAGAAAGUAUUACAUGCCAUAUUACAAGUAUUACAUUUUAUUUCUGACUUCAAGAAUCGUUACCAUAUGUUCAAAGUCAGACAUGACCUCUUAAAUAUAGCAUGUUCUUUGUUCAUGCUGUGCGGGCUUCAUCCUGCUUGGAGAGUAUUUAUUCUGAAGAAAUUGAAGAGAAUAUAAAUUUUCCAGUGCCAGAAGACUUCAUAUCAGCCAGCUUUUGUGGAUGAACUGGACAGCAAUAAUUUGGCUCCUACUGACAAGGGAAACUUGACAGGUCUGCUUUAUUUAUCAUACCUAACAACUUUCUCUAAAAACUAUUUCUAUGGAAAUAGUCCUGAAUUUCAAGAAGCGUUUGUUGCUUUCAAACACAUUUUACAGGAAAAGGAAAAUAACCACGUAUUUUCAAAUAUUCCUGGUGUGCAGCAGCCUAUUGUUGUUACAAUUAAAUGUGCCCUGAUAAGGCUAUGAUUAGAAGUUCUUUGAGAUUUAAUGCAUCCAGCUUUGUGUUUAUAGAUAGAGAAGUUUAUGACCUAAGCUCCUCUACUAUGAGUUGUCCUUCCUGGACUCCAAAUUCUUCCUGGAGGUCUGUUUGGACUGCACAUAGACCUAAAGGUUUAUCCAUAUGAUGUCAUAUUGAAAUCAAAGGGAAUUUUGGGAGUCGAAUGGCCAAAUCAAGAAAAUGCCUGCAGAUGGAUUUUCACCUGAGUGCAUGUUAGACUUAAAUACCACACAGCAUUCAUAUAGCUCAUCAUUACUAUGGUUUGGACUUAUGAUACACAGGAAGCAAUACACUACAGGAAGAAAUACAAUAAUCAGAAGAAAAAAUUACAAGAAACUGGGAAAACCAAGAAGCAUAAGAGAAAAUUAAAGUGUAUAUAAGUAUGGAUCAAUCUGUAGGUACGGGUAGAAUUAAAGGUGGGGAGGGUUAGAAAGAGUGAAGUGAGAAGAUAUGGCAGAGUAUUAAAGCUGGGAGGAAAUAAAUAAGAAAAUGUGAAUAUCAUCAAUGCUAAGAAGUCAAAAACAUGGACAGAUUUUAGAAAAAAACCCCUAUUUUUAAAAGGCAGGUAGAUUGGACAGGGUAUAUUUCAAAUAUCCAAAGUGACUCAGUAGGAAUUCAGCCAAGGAUAAGUAGUAAAAACUAAUAAUCAGAGAAGAAAGCAAGCUCCUCCCAAAACAUGCCCAACUGCUCUAACAAAGGCUUUUUGUUUUUAUUUUUCUUGUUCCUUGUUUUACUAGAGCUAAUGAAUUGAGCUCUGCUGGAUUAAUAAUGCCUGAGUCAUUCUCAAGAACUGGUCUCAUCUACCACAGAGUGGCUUAUGUCCAUAGUAUUAAAUAGCCUUUACUUGCAAAACCAAGUGGCUGCACGUAGCCAGCAUAUUUUGAAUGGUUCCUGGCAAUGUUAACACCCUAACAGAGCUUGGGACUUGUCUGGGAAGUGUUAGCUGUGCUGGGCAACAUUUGAGCAUUCUUAUGCCUGGAAAUAUUCCAGGAUCUAGACAGAUUUUUUCCUAGGGAAUGAAGGAUGGAACCUGCAUUCAUACCACAGGCUGUGUCAUUGCUUUCCCUUUCCAUGUCUUGGUUCAUGCUCUGUCUUGAAAGCAGCAUCCAGUAGAAGGCUGGACAGUCUCCAUCAGGUCUCCCAAUCCCUGUACUUCGGCAACCAAAGGUCAAGGAUGUCCUGGAGGUGUCAUAAAUCCCAAAAGAGAACUCUGGGAUGCUCUGGAGGUGACCUGGGAAGGUAAUCUAAACUCUUGUGUCAAAAGAGUUUAGAAUCAACUGAAAGUAUCACAACAGCUUCCUUUCCCACAGCCAGCCCCUCCAUACCUGUGCUUGAAAAAGAGUAGGAUGAGGAUAAAUAGUCAAUUGCACGCUACAAAUGAAACCAUUUACUCUCAUGUCAUAGCUCCCUUUACCUACAGAGCCUCAAAGUCCCAACAGAAAGUUGGCUGUCCUCCUACCCAGACAGUCUGAUGGUAAUCAUGGUGCUGCCCCAGUUCUGAGGUCUCCAGAAGCUUUUGUUUGUGUAAUUGCAAAAGGAUGAGCAGUGGAACUCAGGACAUAGGUAUCACAGAUCAAAAACUUUGGCAGAGCUCUCAACUGCAGUUUUAAUAAUUGCUCAGAAAAAAUGCUCACCAUGGUCUCAUUUCAGAUUCCUUUAACCACCCCAAUUAAAAAAACCUCUAUCCCAGUGACACGCAGGUAUCACGCCCAUCUAAUCUCAUUUUCCAACGCAUUUCCAUUGUGCUCCUCUCUGUAGUACCCUGAGCAUUCUAGAGAAUUAAAUGAGCCUACCAUAUAACCUAAUUAAUAUAGAUUUUUGGUUCUCUUCUGCUCAACAUGGGAAGGAGAAAAAGGUACAUAAUUCAUCUAUCUUUAUUAUUAUUAUUAAAGUUAUUACAGUGGGAAAGCAAAGACAGAAGGGACUCCUGCAUUUUAGCCAAAGAGCAUUGAUAACUGUGAGGUUUCCAGUCUCUCUCAGGAGUGAAUCCCAGAGAACACUGGGAAAACCUCCUCUUGUGAUGUUGAACAACAUGAAGAACACUGCACUAGCAUAUCCAGAUUUGUUGAAAUAGUCUUUCAGCAGCAGAUACAUAGCAGAGGUACAUAUUAACAUUUGCACUGCUGCAGCAUAUAUGAAUUCAUACCCAAAAUGAAGCUGCAUCCAAUUGAAGACCUGCCCUGCAUCUGUGCACAGGGUUUGUAUCCAAGUUUGCAUAAUGCAUUGUGCUGAUGUGAAUUCCUACUGUGCAAAUGUGGCCAUAUGGCUUUUUAGAAAUAAGUCAUCUUGCAAAUAAUCUGGAAUGAGUCUGUUGAGACUGAUGAAGGUCAGGUCAGAGUCUGCAGUCAUCACAAUGAUUUAUUUGCCCACUUUCAUUCUCAAUGCAGGUCAGCUGCUGUCCCUUGAUCCAGCCUGAAUUUUACAUUUUCCACUCCAGAGCUGAGGUUAUUUCUCAACUGACUGGAUUACAUCUGUCCACUCUGGAAGUCAACAAUGUUCAGAACCAAGUCAGCAUAUGGCAGUCUCCUACCAUUACCAGAUGAAAAAUAUUGUUCCAUCAGUCUUGACUAAUGGAAAACCAAAAGAAAUAGAAAAGCCAGAAAAGCCCAUGGUGAUUCCACAGCUAAAAAUCUUCCCCAAAGCCUUUAAGUGAAGUCAACAUUUUGCGUUCAGUCUACCUCCUUGGCCACAUGACCAGAUCUGGUCAUUUGGCAUGGGUAACAUGCUAUGCCAGCUGGUGACACAGGGAGGGACAAAAGCUUUUGUAGUCCUUGCUUGCCCACUAAACCCUCUUGGUUUAUAUCUGCAGGUACUUGGACCCAGCCUGCAGCUGUAGCAGCAGGGUAGUAGUUAAAAUCAAGUGUCAAACAGAAGAGAAAAGCUGCUUGUGUAAUUUCACAGGCAAGGUCUAUAGAAAAGGAAGUGCAACUGCUUCUCCAGCCUUCAGAGAUAAUUUUAGGUUGGCUUGAAUGGCCAUUAUGGCCUAAAUGACCAUGAUGUGUCUUUGUUUUCAUAAGACUUUUGGCAGCCAGCAUCAGUUAUUUGCCAAGCAAGAACAUGCACAACCAAAAGUGUGUCCUUUGUUCAUAGGAAAGGUAUUCCCUGCUGGCAAUGCUAGCAAUGAAUCUAACAUGAACUCAAAGUGGUGUAUUUGAAAAAUUACCAACUGCCCAUUUUUUCCUUUCAGUCUAGGAGAGAGAAAGUAACAGCCCAACAGGGCAAAAUGUUGAGCAGGUUUUACAUCUGACACUUCCUCCUGCGCUCUACAAAAAAUUGUCGUCACCAUCUCCAGUAAUUACAGAUUAAAUUCUCUACAAAUAUAUAAAGCAACAUGAAUGUAUCCCAAUUUACAUAGCACCUGUCUUAUUGUUAGUGCAAGAAAUCUUUCUUAUAGCUGCCAAUAAUCAUGGAGAAAGUCUAUGGGUUACACAGUGAUCAUUUACUGAAGAAGGAAAUGAGUCAGUAUGGGAAAAAUAAAACCUUUGUGGUUAAUAUGCAUUUAUUUGAAGGAUAUAAAAGUCUUAGUAAUUAAUUUUAUUUGGGAUACUUUAUGUGGGCUUGCAUACUGUACUGUAAAUGCAAUUACUAUGCAAAUGCACUCAGUAACCAUGUAAGAAAUUUAGGGUAUAGCUUGUGGCACCAUUCUUGGUUUGAGAUCACAGAAACUAUUUUGACCAACUGAUCCAAUGCUACUGUGAGAAGCUAGAAGUGAUGCUGUAUUUUAACUUGGGGACAGAUUUUGAAACAACAUGCAAUAAA
rnacentral:lncRNA from 1 species